GGAAGCCAGCGGGCUGAGGCCUUUGUGAGGGCCUUCCUGAAGCAGAGCAUACCUCACUGGAGCCAGCAAGACUGUGAGAGCCAUCUGCAACGCAAGGCUGUGGUCUUGGAAUACUUGUCAGAAGCCAAAGCAGCAGCAGAAGAAAUACAAAGGCCUCACUGCCAAACAGAGGAGAGACAUGAGGCUCUUUGACAUUAACCCAGAGCAACAGAGCAAAUAUACAACGUUUUGGUGCGACAUUGUCAUGGUGCUUGAAGAAGGACAGAGGAUCCUGACACUUUUAAGAAGUGGAAGAAGUUCACUCUCUGGAAAAUUUCCAAAGUGCACCUUUCUUUGGGACAGAAUGUGCUCUGCAGCCCCGUGAGCCUGUGCUGAGGAAUACCACGCCCUUAGCAUGAAAUGUGUGCAACUUCUCCAGGGUCUCCACCCCAGCUGUGAGUUCAGCAUGGCUCUUUCCAUGAGAUUCCAGCACUUGUUGCCUAGCAGCUCAUGGACAGUGUCUACCCCUACCUACCAGCUGACAUGACCAUGGUGACAGCAUUGACUGACCAGGGACAGAAGCCUACAUUGGCACUCUCCCAUCCAGGUGUUCUCCAGUGGUAUCCCAGAGGAAGCACUUACAGGAGGGAAGCUGUGUGGUGAUAUUGUAUUUGUGCUGAAAUGUGAUAUUUUAUUUGUAUGUUAAUAAAUGAAGUUUGCCUGGAGAUCAGAGGUCAUAGACAGCCAUAAACAGAAGUCAGGCAGUUGUGGCACAUGCCUUAAACUGAUCACAAGCAGACAGUCUCUAUGUGUUCAAGGACAUAGCCAAGCAUGGUGGCACAUGCCUUUAAUCCCACUACCAACCAUAGAGAACUGGAGGUCUGUAUAUAGAGGCAGUGAUGAGGAAGUGAGGUGGCUGGGUUAAGAGCCAAUGAAAAGGCAAAACAGCAAGGCAAUAAACAUACAGGUUACACAGGAAAAGGAUCUCUUGGGAAGCUAUGGCGACGUAGUGAGCUAAGGUUAGUUGGUGGCUAUCACUCUGCUCUCUAUGGAUUUUACCCCUGUAUUUGGCACUGUGUUUCUUAUUUAAUAAGACUGUUUAGAAAUUUGUCUACAUUUGGCACCCAACAUGGGGCCAUGUUGAGUCUCAUGACCAUGAUCAUAUGUGGAUAAGAGAAGCAAUUACAAAAGUUUUGAGGAAACAUGUCAUAUGUUUUGGGUGUGGAAAAGAAGGUCAUUUGAAAAGGGAAUAUAAACAAGGCAUUCCUAGAAAGAAGGUUUAUUCAAGGAACAAUGGCAACAGAAUAUCCCUCCCUUCAGGAUUAUGCAGAAGGUGCGGUAAGGGUAAACAUUGGACCAAUGAAUGCAGAUCAACAAGGGACAGACAAGGUAAUCCUUUGCCUCAGUCCUCAGAAAACUCCCAGAGGGCCCUCAUGCAGGCCCCCACAGAAAAUUCACUUCUGACCUUUCCUGCCAUCAUAGAAGAAACCCCUUCUCAGAGCAAUUUAAUAACCAAAUGCUUAUUGCAAUAAACCAGGCUGCUUGGGGUGAUAGAACAGUUGAGGCAGAGAGAAUAGAAAAUUCAGGAGAAACCAUGAAGCAAAUUUUUUGGCACAAUUUUAUAAAUGAACAAAGACCAAUAUUAAAAAUAGGAAUAAAUGACAUUUUUGGAUGGUUUGGUAGACACAGGUGCAGAUGUGACAAUAAUUGCACCAGAAUUUUGACAUCCAAAUUGGCUGCUUGAGGAGGUAAAUAUUCAGCUGUUAGAGAUUGGAUCAUUAUCUCAAGUGAAACAAAGCACAAGAUAGCUUGAAUGUAUAUGUCCAGAAGGACAGAUAGGAAAAUUAAAACCAUAUGUGGCUAAUAUAGCUAUGAAUUUUUGGGGCCGUGAUCUAUUAUAAAAUGAAAUACUUAGAUUAACACUCUUCCAAAAACAGGACAGGGAAUGUUCACCAGGAAAAACUGAGUAGUUACUAAGUGUCUGUAAACCGAGGUGGUACCAUUGCUACUCAAGCAUAGCUCAUAGGAUUGCCUGGCCCACUAUUGAAGGAACCUGAGUGCUGAGGUGCAUUGAAAGGAGGGGAUCAUCUCACUUACCAGGCACUGACUCCUUCCUUGGAUCUUUGCCAGUGGUGGAAAUGGAGACAGCCUGAGGAUUGACACCUUCAGGCCUGAAACUCCGUCUGCUACAGAGUCCUGACUGCUGCAAUGUCUGCACCCAGGAUACCCAGAUGAAGAUACCAUCUGUUGAUGGGGACAGGUCAUUAACUGCCCUUAUUCACAGUCCUUCAGAAUUCCUUCUUUGCCUCCAGCUCCAAGCCUGGAACAAACAGAAAAUAACAAUGUGGAAGAGAUGACUGCUGAGCAAUCAAAGCUGCUGAAUGCCUAUGAGGGCAGUACAGAAAACCAAGAUUCAUCCCUCCUCCGUUUAGCACACCCAGACAUGCAGUAGCCCCUGAACUACAUUGAUGAUGGGAGACUAAGGCAGAACCCAGCUUCUGAUAAUGCCAUCUUGGGAAGCAAUAGCCUUGGUCUAGGAGAGCCUGGGUCUUUGUAGAGUGUCAUGGUCUCAAGCAUUGACUUGGAAGACAAGACUACAGUGCUGUCAGAUAUUCAACUUCCUCAACUCUUAAACUCCCUCACUGACCUAGACUACUGGGAAAAUCCCACAGGAAUCCAUUCGAAAGACUCCACAGUCAUCAGGAGGAAUAAGUUUCAAGAACGCUCCAGGAUCAUAGAACUCUCUGAACAGGUAAGCAAGAAAGAAAUUAUCUCAUCUGCUUCAUGGAUCUCUUCAGGCCCAAAUCCAGCACCAGGACCUUGUGGAGGGUAGAGAGGCUGGGCCCAAUGCUGCGGCUAGUGAAGGGUUUAUUGACAACAUGAACAACAAACAUUUGGAAGGCAAAGCUCAGGAAGCCACACCCAGCCGGCCCAGGAUAACUAGGGUACAGGGGCAAGAUGGGACUAAGAGGACUAGGGAAAACAAUUUCAGCAAAAUACAGCAGCUGAAGCCAUCAAGUCACAGAGUCAAGACACAAGAGAAACUCACCAUCCCCAAGACCAAGAGGAAGAAAUUAUACAUGAGCUCAGCCAUGACAGAUUUAAAAAGCCUCGAACUCACCUCGGAA